rnacentral:lncRNA from 1 species
AAUGAUAAACUUCUUCCAUGGCUGACUUCAAGCUCUCAAUACAAUGUUACUGAAUGCAAGAUGGAAAGAAAAGUGCAGAAUCCACUCUUGAGCCUCCUGAGGACAUCACUGGUUUAAUACUAAUUCAAGUAACGGGCAGAAGAACUUUUAGAGCCCAUCCAUCAUGUCAGUGAAAAAUGUGGCUGGCAGUGAAGUUUUGGAGAGUAAGAUUGCAAGUACACGAACUUUUGCUGGGAAAUGUGUUUGUUCUUAAGAGCUUUCAUCACAAGGUUUCUUUUGAAGCUCAUCUAGCAAAUCAGAUACUAAGCAAUUGUAAUGGAAGAUUAAAAGCAAUUUCAUCACGUUAGAGCAAAAGAACUAUUCAAAAUUUACUUACAAUUGUUCCACUAAUGUACCUGACACUAAGAAACCUCCUGUGUAGGCACAGCUUCCAACAAAAAGUCACAAGUCACAUGAAGAAAGAGGAAAACCUCGCCCUAUCAAAGAAAUUUCCAGAAAUCAACCCUAAAGAAAAGCUGUAUAUAAAUCACUUGAAAAAACACUCAAUAUAACUGUCAUCAAGAUGCUCAAUGACCUCAUGAAAAAAAAUGCAUGGAAAAAAUUAGAAUAUCAACGGAGAGGUAGAAAAAAUAUUUUUUAAAAACAGAAAUUUUAGUGCUGAAAAAUAUAAUAACUGGAUUGAAAAAAAUACUAGAGUUAAACAGCAAACUUGAACAAACAGAAGAAGAAAUGAAUUUUAAAAACUGGUCAAAAGAGAAAAGAAUGAAAAAGAGUGAAGAAUGUCUAAGUGAUUUAUGAGACAUUAUCAAGCAGACCAAUUUAUAUACCAUAAAAUUUUCAGAAAGAGAAGAGAGAUAAAGAGAAUGAGACAUAAAGCUUAUUUGCAGAAAUAAUGACUGGAAACUUCAAAUCUAAGAAAGAAAUAGGAGAUACAUAUAUGAGAGAUAUAUAUGAUAUAUAUAUAUGAGAGAGAUAUAUAUACUAUAUAUGAGAGAGAUAUAUAUGAUAUAUAUAUGAGAGAUAUAUAUAUAUGAGAUAUCUAUCUAUCUAUCUACCUAUCUAUCUAUCUAUCUGUCUAUCAUCUAUCUAUAUGUGAUAUAUAUCUAGCAGUGGGAUUGCUGUAUCAUAUGGUAGGUCUCUUUUCAGUUUUUUUGAGGAACUGGAAACUGGUCUCCACAGUGAUUUUACUAGUUUACAUUCCUACCAGCAAUUUAUGAAGUUUACCUUUUUUCCACAUCAUUUCUAGCAUUUGUUAUGCUCUGUCUUUUGAGAAAAAAUAAAUCAUUUUAACUGGAGUUAGAUUAUAUCUUAUUGAAGCUUUAAUUUGUAUUUCUCUGAUGAUUGAUGAUGUUG